GAGUUUGAUCCUGGCUCAGAAUCAACGCUGGCGGCGUGCCUCAGACAUGCAAGUCGAACGAUUAAAGCUCUCUUCGGAGAGUGUAUAGAGUGGCGCACGGGUGAGUAACACGUAAGUAAUCUACCCUCGAGUGGGGAAUAACGUUCGGAAACGGACGCUAAUACCGCAUAAUGCAGCGGCACCGCAAGGUGACAGUUGUUAAAGAUUUAUCGCUUGAGGAGGAGCUUGCGGCAGAUUAGCUAGUUGGUAAGGUAACGGCUUACCAAGGCUACGAUCUGUAACCGGUCUAAGAGGACGGUCGGUCACACUGACACUGAAUAACGGGUCAGACUCCUACGGGAGGCAGCAGUCGGGAAUUUUGGGCAAUGGGCGAAAGCCUGACCCAGCAACGCCGCGUGAAGGAUGAAGUAUUUCGGUAUGUAAACUUCGAAAGAAUAGGAAGAAUUAAUGACGGUACUAUUUAUAAGGUCCGGCUAACUACGUGCCAGCAGCCGCGGUAAUACGUAGGGACCAAGCGUUGUUCGGAUUUACUGGGCGUAAAGGGCGCGUAGGCGGCUUUGUAAGUCACUUGUGAAAUCUCUGAGCUUAACUCAGAACGGCCAAGUGAUACUGCAGUACUAGAGUGCAGAAGGGGCAAUCAGAAUUCUUGGUGUAGCGGUGAAAUGCGUAGAUAUCAAGAGGAAUACCUGAGGUGAAGACGGGUUUGCUU
rnacentral:rRNA from 1 species